rnacentral:rRNA from 1 species
GACGAACGCUGGCGGCGCGCCUAACACAUGCAAGUCGAACGAGCGAGAGAGAGCUUGCUUUCUCGAGCGAGUGGCGAACGGGUGAGUAACGCGUGAGGAACCUGCCUCAAAGAGGGGGACAACAGUUGGAAACGACUGCUAAUACCGCAUAAGCCCACGGGUCGGCAUCGACCAGAGGGAAAAGGAGCAAUCCGCUUUGAGAUGGCCUCGCGUCCGAUUAGCUAGUUGGUGAGGUAACGGCCCACCAAGGCGACGAUCGGUAGCCGGACUGAGAGGUUGAACGGCCACAUUGGGACUGAGACAUGGCUCAGACUCCUACGGGAGGCAGCAGUGGGGAAUAUUGCACAAUGGGGGAAACCCUGAUGCAGCGACGCCGCGUGGAGGAAGAAGGUCUUCGGAUUGUAAACUCCUGUUGUUGAGGAAGAUAAUGACGGUACUCAACAAGGAAGUGACGGCUAACUACGUGCCAGCAGCCGCGGUAAAACGUAGGUCACAAGCGUUGUCCGGAAUUACUGGGUGUAAAGGGAGCGCAGGCGGGAAGACAAGUUGGAAGUGAAAUCCAUGGGCUCAACCCAUGAACUGCUUUCAAAACUGUUUUUCUUGAGUAGUGCAGAGGUAGGCGGAAUUCCCGGUGUAGCGGUGGAAUGCGUAGAUAUCGGGAGGAACACCAGUGGCGAAGGCGGCCUACUGGGCACCAACUGACGCUGAGGCUCGAAAGUGUGGGUAGCAAACAGGAUUAGAUACCCUGGUAGUCCACACCGUAAACGAUGAUUACUAGGUGUUGGAGGAUUGACCCCUUCAGUGCCGCAGUUAACACAAUAAGUAAUCCACCUGGGGAGUACGACCGCAAGGUUGAAACUCAAAGGAAUUGACGGGGGCCCGCACAAGCAGUGGAGUAUGUGGUUUAAUUCGACGCAACGCGAAGAACCUUACCAAGUCUUGACAUCCUGCGACGGUGCUGGAAACAGUACUUUCCUUCGGGACGCAGAGACAGGUGGUGCAUGGUUGUCGUCAGCUCGUGUCGUGAGAUGUUGGGUUAAGUCCCGCAACGAGCGCAACCCUUAUGGUCAGUUACUACGCAAGAGGACUCUGGCCAGACUGCCGUUGACAAAACGGAGGAAGGUGGGGAUGACGUCAAAUCAUCAUGCCCUUUAUGACUUGGGCUACACACGUACUACAAUGGCGUUAAACAAAGAGAAGCAAGACCGCGAGGUGGAGCAAAACUCAGAAACAACGUCCCAGUUCGGACUGCAGGCUGCAACUCGCCUGCACGAAGUCGGAAUUGCUAGUAAUCGUAGAUCAGCAUGCUGCGGUGAAUACGUUCCCGGGCCU